ACGAAUCCAUGUUAGAGGGAACACUGGUCCCUUUUCCAAACAACUCUACAUCCCAAUGACUCUCUCCCCACUCCUAAGGUGAAGUCAUACUAUCAAACAAAUAUAUGCAAAUUUCCCCUUAACUUUAGCCUCUGGAAUUUUGUUCCAGAAUUUAAACUUUAUAUUAUGUUUAUGUACAAACACAUAGCCAAGUGACAGCCACAGAGGUGAAACUUAUUUGGGGGUUUGGGCAAGGUUGGUUUUGGGCAAGGUUGGUUUUUUCUACCUCUAUAUCCACCAAACAAAGCAAUGUUCAUCCUAUAGAUUCAGAGUUAGUUACCAAGAGGGAAAAUAAAUGUAGUGUUCUUGUUUCUGAAAGACAAAAGCUACACACAUUUUUUAAAAUACACAUCAGUUUGUUGUUGGCUAAAGGCUACAGCUGUUGUAAUUCAGAAGCUACAAAGACCCUUCUAGCUGGGAUUAUAAAGCGCUUUGUAAGGCUCAAGACAGAGCAACACAAAGACUUGCAGUUAUAGAAGGUGUGGAAUGUUAAGCCAACUCACUUCUGCAAUUUGCUGAUUUUCUUUAAUCUUUUAUUUUUAAUUAACGCAGUCUCUCUCUCCCAGGCAGUGACAUUUGAAGAGGAUCUUAUCCCUGGCUCCUUUUAUCCAGGUAGCGCUGGAACAGCAUGCCUUGGCUUCUUGAAAGCAACAUAUCAAUUAGAGGGCUCCAUUUUUGUCACAACAGAAUUUUAUGAACUGAUAGCCUUGUUUUCAAGGGGGAGGAAAGCAGCUUAACCUCCCUGCCACUUUUGGAAAACAAAACGAAAACCAAUCAAGUUCUCCACCCACCAAGGGCCAGACUGUUUUCCAGGACCACUUCUCCUCCAGCUGCCCCUCACGACCACCACAUGGGUUCCAACAUAAUGUAGAAGACAAAAGUUUUGCCAGUCCUCAGGAAUUUGGGCGGGGGAGGUCGGGGGAGGGAGGGAGAGAGAAAGAAACCUUCCCCAGUGAUAGUAGCUGUGACUUCCAAGGUCCCCCUCCCGCUCUCUCAUAUUUGGGAAUUACUCCUCUCCCCCCCCCGCUCUUUUUCAAGGACUACAGCUGAGGGGAAGGGGUGGGGGGAAGGAGGGCAUCUUAAACCCCAGGGAGAGGCGGAGGGGCAGCCGAGAGAGGAGUUCGCUCCUCCAGGCCCCCCCCCACCUUAUUCUCGGGUUGCGCUGAGCCGCCAGUCCCCGUUUCUCCUUUGUCCAUAGUCGUCCUCGCUCUCUCCGCACAGCCGAGCAGGUUAGCCUCCGAGGCCUGGGCACCCCCGCGCCCAAAGAGCCCGCAUCAAACCCCGGGCUCACGCUCGAGCUCCAGCGGGGCCUGCACGCGCUCCCGGCACCCCCGCAGCAGCCCAUUCAUUAGCCGGCGAGAGCAGCCGCCGCCGCCGCCGCCCGCCCCUUCCCCACGGCGGCAGCCCGCUGCACCGUACCUGUUGUCGAGCCCCAGCACAGCACCUGAGGAGCCGGGGCGGGUGGGAAAGGAGAGAGGCAGGUUCGCUCGGUGCCUCCCUCUGUUCCGGCCGCCGCUUGGCCAGGCGCUUGCAAGGAGAGGCUAGGCGGGCGGCUGCCGUGCUCCGCUCCCAGCGCCUGCCGCACAGGCAACGGGAGCGAGAGAGGGGGCUGGUGCUGGAUGCAUUCGCAGCGUCUUCUCAAAGGCCACAACACGCUCUGCAGGGAGCAGCGAAGAGGAGCUGCUGCUGCCACCGCCGCCACAGUUAACCCUUUCCAGCCCAAGGCCAGCUCUUCCUCUCUCCGCUCCCAUCAGAUUUGAUCCGCCCCCUUCCUCCCUCCGCCGAAUCUCCACCCACCCGGCCCAAGCUUUCUUUUUAUUAUUAUGGUUACAUUUCUGAAUCGAGAUAGCAAGGCUGCAGCAGUGCAUGCGACAUGGAAAUCCCCGCUUCUGUUGUUUGCAAUCGCCCUAUGGAUCUGCUCUAGAGUAAAUGGCUGGGAUUAUUACACUUGGAAUCAAAAUCCACCAGGGCAGUGCAUUCACUUGGUUACGUUGUCCGAAUGUUUAACACAGUACUACUUCCUUCUGAGUAACUAUGCAUUGGCUCGGGCAGGCUGCACCCAACCCGCACAGGCACACGUUUGAUUUCAGUGGCAUGUACCCGCAGCAUGAAGAUGUGCUUAGGAUCGGAGCCUUAAGCCUUAUGCACGAGAACUGCUUUCGUUAAAUCCAUUUGGAUCGUUGACAUUCAAGAACUCAUGCUAAGAGGCUGUGUAACCCACUGACCACUUUCAUGGCGACAGUACAGUACCUAAAUGACAUUUAAAUUAGUCUACUUGGGAGUCAUUGGCAUGUACUUUGAAGCUGGGAAAGACUUCACAGCCCACAGACCCAGAACAAUUCCUGUGAUUUUGAAAGAGGAAAGUCCUUGUGUCCAGAUAGCAUCUUCCCACACAAUACCGACUGUAUUUGUCCCUAAAUCAGAUGGCGGUACGUGUUUUCCACACAUGUUGACUGUUAGUACAAAGGAGAUUGACACAAUUCUCCUAAAAUUAACUAAUUUAUUUUAACUACUAUUUUAACUUUUUGUUUGUUUUCUUCUUGUUAUAAACCGCCCAGAGACGUGCGUUUAGGGCAGUAUAGAAAUGUAUUAAAUAAAUAAAUAAAUAAAUAAUGGGUCAAGCCUGCUGCAUUCAUUUUCUAGUGGCACCCUCAGAGUUGUUUCACACAUUCAAUCUUUUUUAGUUAACCAUCAGAUAUUUUCCAGACACUAUCUAUAGAGUAAAAAUCUGAAUGAGACUUGCACGCUUACAAACUUGUAUGAAAUAUUUACACAUUUUGCAAAUGUGUCUCAUAGGAAGCUGCCAUAUACUGAGUCAGACCCUUGGUCCAUCUAGCUCAGUAAUGUCUUCACAGACUGGCAGUGGCUUCUCCAAGGUUGCUGGCAGGAAUCUCUCUCAGCCCUAACCCCCCCCCCCCCGAUUACCUGAUGUGCCUUGUAAUCCCCCACCCCCGAGUUACAGUACUACCUGCAUAUACUUCAUAACUUGUGUGUUUCCAAAUUCUUGUGUGUAAAUCUUUGUAGAUAUAUCAUGUACAAACAACCACUUUGUAUAUAAUUGUGCUUUGGCAACGUACUGUAUGCUUUGGUAGUUUGUUGGUUCAAUAAAAAAUA